rnacentral:rRNA from 1 species
ACAACUUUCAGCAACGGAUCUCUUGGCUCUCGCAUCGAUGAAGAACGCAGCGAAAUGCGAUAAGUAAUGUGAAUUGCAGAAUUCAGUGAAUCAUCGAAUCUUUGAACGCACCUUGCGCUCCUUGGUAUUCCGAGGAGCAUGCCUGUUUGAGHGHCAUGAA